UGGCAUUUUGCUCUGACUGAAUAGGGCUUUGCUAAGGGGCUCUGUUUAUUCUUAACUAUUGCAGCAGCCUUCGGGCCUGAGUCUAUAAAAUGCUAACAGAGGGCAACCUCACUCCAGUAAUAUCAGGGCAGGCAAUUAACACAUGACUGUCUGCAGCUCUCAGCAGAUGGCUGAUACACAUGCAAUCUUUAGCUCUGACUGAGAGGGACCUUUCCAAGGAGACCUUAUUUCUCCCUACAGCAGCAAUAAAUAACCUGGAAGUGCAGCUGCCAAUUGGCUUUAAAGGUCAACAGAAAAUCCCACCCAGGCUUCCUGCUGCCAGGCGGCUGUCAGCUGGCUUACUGCUCUGAGCACACUGGCAAAUGGAAUGCAUCUAGCUAAGUAUGUAAGUCUCACAAGCUGCCUCUCAAUCUGGACCUGUGGAGCUGAGAGAAAGGACCUUAGCAAGGAGGAGAGAGACAGCGAGAAAUCAGAGUAAAACUGCAGAUGAUGGGAACAUGCUGUAAAACUGCUUUCAGCCCCUGAAAGAAGCCAAUGUAGCGAACAACUUGUUCUGCUAAGGGACAAGUGUUGAGUUACUGCCCUUUCCUGAGGACCUCUGUGAACACAUCUAUGAAGAGCACGCAGAAGCUAAAUAGUGAGACUACUUCAGCUGAAGGAAAAGGAAGAAUCAAGUUGAGUUCUGCUUACUUUUUUUUGUUGACCUUCAAGGAGUUUUAAUCAACUCUGUU